GAUGAAGAACGUAGCGAAUUGCGAUAAGUAAUGUGAAUUGCAGAUUUUCAGUGAAUCAUCGAAUCUUUGAACGCACCUUGCGCUCCUUGGUAUUCCGAGGAGCAUGCCUGUUUGAGUGUCAUUAAUAUAUCAACCUUCUCUUUUUUGAGUUGUUUGGAUGUGGGGGUUUGCUGGCCUCUUAAAUGAUUCAGCUCCCCUGAAAUGCAUUAGCAGAACAACCUGUUCAUUGGCGUGAUAAUUAUCUAUGCUAUUGAAUGUGAGGGCAGUUCAGCUUUCUAACCGUCCUUGGACAAUUCAUCAUUAAUGUGACCUCAAAUCAGGUAGGACUACCCGCUGAACUUAAGCAUAUCAAUAAGCGGAGGA
rnacentral:misc_RNA from 1 species